UCUCUUUGACGCGAUCGUAAAUCUUGGCGAUCGUGGAGGCAAGUGUCGUUAUUACGACAGGUGCGUCAAAUUUACUCGGUGCUUAAAAUCUGGCUGUUAAAUCAACGGUAUGCGAUGGAAUAUCUUAUUUGUCGUGGAGAUAGAUACGUAACGUGAGUUGUUCCGUUUCUCGUGGAAGAUAAAUAAAUAUGUACUUAAGUAAAUAACAAUUUGAAUUAAACCCGUUUAUGUAUA